CCUACGGGGGGCAGCAGUGGGGAAUAUUGGACAAUGGGGGGAACCCUGAUCCAGCCAUGCCGCGUGUGUGAAGAAGGCCCUCGGGUUGUAAAGCACUUUCAGUGAGGAAGAACGCCUGGUGGUUAAUACCCAUCAGGAAAGACAUCACUCACAGAAGAAGCACCGGCUAACUCCGUGCCAGCAGCCGCGGUAAUACGGAGGGUGCGAGCGUUAAUCGGAAUUACUGGGCGUAAAGCGCGCGUAGGUGGCUUGAUAAGCCGGUUGUGAAAGCCCCGGGCUCAACCUGGGAACGGCAUCCGGAACUGUCAAGCUAGAGUGCAGGAGAGGAAGGUAGAAUUCCCGGUGUAGCGGUGAAAUGCGUAGAGAUCGGGAGGAAUACCAGUGGCGAAGGCGGCCUUCUGGACUGACACUGACACUGAGGUGCGAAAGCGUGGGUAGCCAACAGGAUUAGAUACCCCUGAGUC
rnacentral:rRNA from 1 species